AUGAGUGUGUGGGUGUCUAGAAACCAGCUUGCAUGUGAGAGCACAGGACAGCAUAGGUAUACAUGUUUACUUCUUUACCACUUACUUAAAGCUCUGACAUUGCCAAAAGUCAUUCAAUAUCAGAGCAUAGAAAACAAAAACUGGAACAGACUAGACAUAAUAGGAUCAUUAUACAAAAUGAAAUUCUUCUGUGCUCUCUGGCUUUGGAUGUUUCUGUCAGAAUUUAAUUCAACUACUGGCGAAAUUUCUAGACAAGGACACAGUGAAGGAAGCAUCACAAUUACAUGCUCCCACAGCUGGGCUUCAACCAAUAUAAAGUAUUUCUGCAGAGAUCCAUGUAAAGAUAUUUUAAUGAAAUCUGACCAGUCACCUACAGGAAGAUACACACUGAAGGACUCUGGAGAAGGAACCUUCACUGUGAACAUCACUGAUCUACAGGAGUCAGACUCUGGGAUUUACUGGUGCGGAGUGGACAGAUUUGGUUUUGACACCUUUACGAAAGUCAAACUGACAGUAUCUAAAGCCAACACUGGAAACAUGGUGGAAGCAAAUCGUCAGAGGACGAUGGAAACACAAACAACUGGGACAAGCGCUGAAAUGCACUUGACUAUACAAAGACACUUAGUUUUCGUAUCUUCAACCACUAAAGACAGCACACUCUCACUGACAUCAGCAGGUUUUGUCAAAGCAUCUGGUCCAGCUGGUGAAAAAGCAGGUGCUGAACACAGAAACUCAUCUUCAUCUGCCCAUAUAUUUCCAGUGCCUUUAUACUAUAUUCCUUACGCUGCUGCUGGUUUGGCCAUCAUGGUGAUCAUAUGUACAGCUGGACUGGUAACUGUUCUUCAGUGCAGAAAGAGAGUCAAGAAAUCAAGAUGUGUUAUUGCAAGAUCUAUUUACAAUUCCCGUCACAACGAGGAGACUAAUGCUGUUUAUCAGAAUGCUCCCGAUGACAGACCCUACGCCACCAUAAAUAAAUCCAGUACCAAGUCUAAGGACGAGAGCCAAUCAGACCCAAUCUAUCAGAACAUACACUUCAACACUACGCAGGAAGAAACUAUCUAUGGCAAUCUAUAGGAAAUAUACAAUCUACUAUCCUCAAACUCAAAUACGUGUUCUGCAUGACAAGCAUCAAACAAGUUUGUCUGGACAAUUUGUCCGGACAUCAACACCAUUUCUGAACAGUAUAUAGCAAAAACACCUUGGCAAAAAUCAAAUGUACAGUACAUGAUUCAAAAACAUGUCACUUGGCAAUAUAAUCAUACCAUUAUUUGUGUACAUAAAUAUCCCUUUUCCAUGUAAAGUUUGCAUGUGAAACAACAAUGAAGGGUUGAAAAACUAAUGGGUUGUUUCAUAUUAAAUGGACAAAUGUGUAGGGCUAUUAAAUUAUUUAGCAAAUACAACUAACUGUUAUGAAUCCCUAGCCUGCGGAUAGUGUAAAAACAGAAUAUGAGUAUGUGAAAACACUGAAAAUGUGAACCUAAAAAUGGGGUUGAAAAACAGUCUUCGUCAAUCAGACUUGCCUGCUCAGACAGUUGUAAGCUCUGAACUCAGUUCACACACCAUUUUGAACAAUAGAUACCAGAGAAGCUGAUGUGUCUUUGAAAUUUCUCUAUAGAGAUCUGUUUAGUUUUCUCUAAAACAUCCAAAUAAAGAACACAUGGAAGUAAUGCGCCUGUUUAAC
ensembl:lncRNA